rnacentral:rRNA from 1 species
AACGAACGCUGGCGGCAUGCCUAACACAUGCAAGUCGAACGAGACCUUCGGGUCUAGUGGCGCACGGGUGCGUAACGCGUGGGAACCUGCCCUUAGGUUCGGAAUAACUCCCCGAAAGGGGUGCUAAUACCGGAUAAUGUCUUCGGACCAAAGAUUUAUCGCCUUUGGAUGGGCCCGCGUUGGAUUAGCUAGUUGGUAGGGUAAAAGCCUACCAAGGCGACGAUCCAUAGCUGGUCUGAGAGGAGGAUCAGCCACACUGGGACUGAGACACGGCCCAGACUCCUACGGGAGGCAGCAGUGGGGAAUAUUGGACAAUGGGCGAAAGCCUGAUCCAGCAUUGCCGCGUGAGUGAUGAAGGCCUUAGGGUUGUAAAGCUCUUUUACCCGGGAUGAUAAUGACAGUACCGGGAGAAUAAGCGCCGGCUAACUCCGUG